GGAAGGACAGGUUUGGGUUUGGGGUUUUUUGUUUGUUUGUUUGUUUGUUUUGGGGGGCCUUCGCGCUGAGCUGCAUCCUCGGCCCUUUUUAUUUGCCGACAGAAUCUGGAUGAGUCAGUAAGUUGUCCUGGCGGGGCUUCUCCUUCCUCAGGCUCCCUCGUGCUGAACUCUGGGCGCGCGCCCAGCUGAGGACGUGGCCCGAGGGAGGGAGGUCAGCGGGAGCUUCACAACGUUUGGCCCUGGUUGUGCGCCCUGCAGGGUGUGCCGUGAAGCUGUUGGUGGUUCUGAGGGCAAUCAUAAGCCUGGGGAAGCGUGUACUGUACUGUGUAAUAAUGAAGACAGCAGUUAUCCGCACUUUGAAAGCAAGUUUUGCAAAAUAGUUACGCACUUCCUUUGAGUGAUGAGUUCUAAUAAGCCACAUCCUGUAGGACAUCAGCACACCUUUGGGGGCAACACAGGACUGAGAUGUAGCCUGCACAGAGGCUGUCCUGGACACAGAAGCAGGUGAAUUGCUGGCCCACAAUGCAGCCUCAUAGAUCUGUGCCGAGCGGAUCCAAGGGACCAGGCUGGUGAAUCUCAGGUUUGAAUCAUCUUUGAACCAACUCUGGGUCCCCAAAGUCCAAGGAUGUAGAAGGAAAAGCAGCUCCAGCUCAGACUCAGUUUCUCCUCCACUGAUGAUAGAUUCCUCUGACACCGUGUGGUGAGCUUUCCCUGAACGUGAGCAAGUGGCAGCUCCAUAGCCCACCUCAGUGGGGCGCUCUCUGGUUUGUUUUGUUUGUUUGUUUUUUGGUACCAGGGAUCGGACUUGGGUCCUUGCGCUUGUGAGGCAGGUGGCAGAACCACUGAGCUAAAUCCCCAGCGCUCUGGUUUGUUUUUUUAUUCCUGUGGUGCCAGGAUCCCUCAAGGCGGGUGCUCCACCACAGUGCCACAGUGAGUAGGGCAUCAGGGCCACUGUGAGGGUGCCAUUGCAAAACUGCCCCUCUGAUGGCAGCUGCAGGCCCUGGGUCAUCUCACCUACGCUUCUACCCAGGCUAGAAGUAGGGUUCCAUUAAUUUGCUCAACAGCUCACAGUACCCAGGGAAGCAACAUUUAAGGGUUUAUUUAUUCUCCCCUGGCACUGAGGAUUGAACCCAGCGCCUUCACAUUUAGCUUUCCCAGCCUUAGUCUAGUAAGUUGCCAAAUUGCCUAACCCGGGCUCUACCUUGCAAUCGUCUUGCCUCAGCCUCCCACAGUGCUGGGGUUAAAGUCAUGCAUCGCCAUGUCUGGCUUUACCAGUUUACUAUGAAGGACAGUAGGAAGGAGACAGGCGAAGAGAUGCCCAGGCGAGGCCUGUGGGAAAGGUACCCUCCGAGCACCUGUGCCUGCUGUCUCUAGCGCUAUCUGCUGGGUCUGAGAUGCCAAGUGAUGUGCACAGACGAAGCAGGGACCUAGCAAGGCCAUCAUCUGGCUUCCUCCGCGGCCCUUCCUCCUGCAUGCCGACAGACCCCUCUCUGAACUGGGUGCUCAUCAUCUGAACAGGGAAAGGGUGGGCCAGAGAAGUUCUGUGGGCUGGGGGAGAUCAGUUUCUGUGCCUGCCUUGGGGAGAGAAAAGGGCAGGCAAAGGGGGGUUAGGUCAGACUGCUUUCUAAGCCCCAAACACCUGACAUCGGUCUACUCAGGGCAAUGGGAGCAAUAAGCCAGGGACCAGGGAUGAAAACCAAAAGCUAUCUGUACCACAAAGUAAAGAACAAAAACAGGCUUCUGAGAGGCGUAAUUACACCUCCAGAUGGCUUGGUCAUCUCCUGCCUAAGUUCUGGGCUUCCAGCCUUCUGGCUUGGCCUGUGAAUUUCAAUUUGUCUGCCCCUACUACUACCAGAGCCACUGCUUUAAAACAGAUCUUUUACUAGGCCAGGCACAAGGACACAGGCCUGUAAUCCCAGUGACUCUGGAGGCUGAGGCAGGAGGAUCACAAGUAAAAGCCCAGCCUGGACAACUUAACAAGACCCUAUCUUAAAAUAAAAUAAAAUAGAUCAAAAGGGCCAGGGUGCAGCUCAGCUCAGCAUCUGCCUUGCAUGCACAAGACCCUGGGCUCAAUCCCCAGUACCACACUAAAUAAACACAUGAAAUAAAACCGUUUACUAUAUUUAUUGUACAAGAAUAAUCUCCUAUUGGUUGUGUUCUCUGGAAAAAUGCACAUUGCCAUUACCCCAGCAUAGGAUUUUAUAAUCUGCCAUCUGUACUACUGGAGCUGGUCUUUGUGUCGGAAAUAGUUUCCUGUCUAAAUCUGACAGACCAGCUCCAAGGUGCUCUCCUUCCAGUUGUUCCCAGAGCUCAGGACAGAACGCUAGAGGUAGACGAUCUGGCCCUUGGUGAUUUGCCACCUGCCCCUCAUAUGGCUUUGCUUUCCUCUCCAUCUGCUCCUGCGGUCUCCUCCUGGUUCUGCGGGAUACUGUGAGCACUGGCGUCUUCUGCCUCUCUAGAUUUCUCUUUUUCUGUUUUUGUUAUUGAUUUGGUGUGGCUGGGGCCUGGACCCGUGGCCUGCCUGGUGCUGGCUGAAUCCACCACAGCCCCAUCUGGAUCUCUUGCCUCCU
rnacentral:lncRNA from 1 species